rnacentral:rRNA from 1 species
UACGUAGGCAGCGAGCGUUGUUCGGAGUUACUGGGCGUAAAGGGGGUGUAGGCGGUUGUUUAAGUUUGGUGGGAAAUCUCCCGGCUCAACUGGGAGGGUGCGCCGAAUACUGAAUGACUUGGAGUGCGGGAGAGGAAAGUGGAAUUCCUGGUGUAGCGGUGAAAUGCGUAGAUAUCAGGAGGAACACCGGUGGUGUAGACGGCUUUCUGGACCGUAACUGACGCUGAGACACGAAAGCGUGGGGAGCAAACAGG